AUCCUUUUGUAGUUCAUCAGCGUGGUUGAUGGGGUGUCCACGCCAUUGCGUGACAUGUACACGUGCCGCCCACAAAACUUGUCACAACAUCAGCACCUUACCCGUCUGACA
rnacentral:snoRNA from 1 species